GUAUCGAGAAUGGGUUCCCUGUACAACACGAGCGGCUGCAGAGUAGACUAAUUUCCUAACCGCUAGCUCAAAUACAGUAAAAAACAUGGGCGAAAACAAGACAUGAAAUUGCAAGUGCUUUGGAAUCCCCCCAGUGUCAGUCACCAGUGACCUCAACAAGUGGCGGAAAGAGGUCUUCAUUGGUGUGCAAGUGAGAAAGCCGUGAGUGAGGUCUAGAGUUGUUGUCAUUCUCAACUUCUUCUUCUGAUGUUACCAAGUCAUCCAUGUCCGGUGGGAUGUCCUCCCGGAAUGGCUCAUCCGACCUCUGAUACUAAAAAUGGAAUAUUUGCAUGAUGUUAUACCUACAGCAUAUGUAAAAGGGCCUUCAAACUAAAACAUUCUAAAAUCUCUGCAUUGCAUGACAAAUUCCCAGAGUCCAAUUCUUAGUAGCUAACUAUUGUUUUGUGUAGAUAAUUGACUUACCUGAGCUGGGUCUAAGAGAGGGGUCCGUAAGGAACUUCUAAAGCCUUCGGUUUCUAAACUUGAGGAAACCAGGCCAACAAAUACCAGCACAAGGCCUAUCAGAUAGAAAAUUAAAUUAAAAAAGGUGUAAAAGGAAGUGGAAUAAAAGCAAUUCGUGCAUGUUAUGACAGAAAACACAAGAAGUACAUCCCACUAUUUUACCAAGGAUACAACAUUUUAAAUUAUUCUUUUUAUAUUAUUUUCAAAUUAUUUUUUAUUCAUUGUUAGUAUUGGAAGCUAUCAAAUAAAUAAUAAUUUAAAAUAAAUAAUAAUUAUAUAAUGAAAUAAAAUUUAGAAAAUCACUUUACCUAAGACUUCUAAAACAAUAACUGGAGUAUCAAUGUUAUUGGAAAAAUGCCUGAUGAACAUCCAAUCUUCCAGCCAAGUGAGUAGUGGCACAAGGCAAAUCACCCUGUUGGUCGACACUGGUCCUGGAGAAACAACAGUUUUAUAUAUAUAAUGCAUGGAUGCAGGCGUUCAUAGAACAGUGCUCAAUACACAGGUGUAGAGCUACAUGUUUUAUUAAAUGCUUUUAUUUGGUGAAAUCUUUGGCUGGGUGUGUUCUGCACACUCCACCACAGAAACGGUUAUGGCAAGAACCAAUCACAUAAAGUUAGACAAGUAUUAAAUUGCCUGUGAACUGUUCCGCAUGAACAUUUAAAAGUAAGUAAAUGAACUAUCUAAGAAAUGUAAACAAAACAAAAAAGAAGAAUCUGUAGUUAAGGGAUUAGACAAUAACAAUGAAAUAAAAAAAAUAACAAAUGUAAGCAGUGCUAGAUAAAGCUAAGUUCGAAUAGAUUGAGUUAGUUAGUUCAGUGAGCUAAAAUGCAGUAACAGCAGACAAUUGUUGGUAAACUACUUGUAAAUUUCGCUUAUUUCAAUUCAUGAUAAAUGAAGCUUAUGCUUGUUUCUUCAUUCUAUUUGACUAUAAAUGUUAUGAAAUAGUACAAAAUCCAAGUCGAAAAGCCUUCAUUACACUGCAAUGGGCAAAAUAGGAUGUUUUUAUAAAAAAGGUUCUUCUAAAAAAAGAGUGUAUGCAUGCCUCGUCUUGACAAAACAUUGAGCCCAUUUCAGUAGAGGCAAGGCCCCAUCCUGAUGUUCUCAACACAUUGGACUAGCAGUAAUUUCACAGAGCGACACAUAAAAUAGCUAAAAUAUGAUGGCCACAAAGACAGCAGAAGCAGGCCAUAGAUUUGUAAUGUGUGUGCAUCCUCAGGGACCCAGGGCGUCGCAGAGAUUUGGCACACAGAGAGCGCACAAGAAAGAACUCUUUUUUCUCGUGCGCUCCCUGUGUGGGCAUCUCUGCGACGCCCUUGGUCCCUGAGGAUGAUGUGUAUGGUUUGUUUACCCAAGUACUCAAUUUUCUUUCAACUUGUGAGCCCACUGUAUAGUCAUGUGGGGUUGUUCUUCGGUUAUGGCUAAUGUUGAUCAUACUCACCAACUGCUUUGUAAAGAUAGUCAACAAUAAUAGCUGCUAACCAGCCGCACAUGACAGUCAGGAAGAGUAUAGAUAUGUUACCCCCCUUGGUCAGCCACUGUACCUGUAUCAAACAGACAAAAUAUGAUGAUCAGGAAUACACCAAAAACUGGUAUUAGACUCAAAUUUUCGUCUUUAAAAAGACUUCUUCAAGGCAAUAUUAUUAAGUCUUAUUAAAGAUGAAAAUUUGGCAGAGUCUAGUCCAGUUUUUGGUGUAUUGUAUUUAUUCUUCUGGUUCACGAUCACGACAAUUUGGGCUUUUUGUAUUUAUUUGUAUUGCUGAUCAGGAAUAAUAUAGAACCACACUAUGCCUGUAUCAAAUAGACAAUAUAUGACUGAUGAUGGCGAUGGUAAAGAUGACAUAGCUGUCAACCUGGCUUUAGGAAAAAUCUUGAGAAAAUACAGUAAAUGUAUCAGAAGUACCAAGAUAGCUUAUGUGGGAGAAUACAGUAAUAAAUGUAAGGAUAUUUCAAGAAAAUUUGGCUUGACAAAAGGUUCAAAAUCUUGAGACCCACGCCUUAUGCAGGAGAGUUGACAGCUAUGUGAUGAUGAUGAUAAUAGUAAAAUACAAAAUCACUAAGCAUCUCUUUGUGUUGUCAACAUUAGAUUCUCAAUAUGAUAUAACUAAUAACAAGAGAAAAUACUUUAUUUAGAUCAACUGCUUUAUAUUUUGGCAAUGUACAACACAGCCUUUCUCAGGGUGACAUGUAGUAACUACAAUUGUUAGCCUCAGUCACCCUGAAAAACGCUGUUGUAAACCGCCAAAAUAUAGGCGCAGAUCAAAACAAAGUAUUUUCUCUUGUUAUUAACAAUAAGGAAUGAUAUAUAUAUAUUAUGAUGCCUUCCUUUGUCAACCACAAUACCAUUUUAUCAACACCUAAAUUCAUAAUAAAAAAAUACCAGUUUUUUUCUCUUUAACUGUAAACAUUAGUCCUCUGGUAGUUACUCUUUAUUGCUAACAAAUGUUACCUUAUUUAAGGGUUCAAAAAUAAACAUGAGGCCAAAAAUCACCAAGCCAUAGAGUCCUGCAAAAAGAUUAUUCCAGAUACCAGCCACAGUGUAGUGUAUAUCUUCAUUCUUGGCCUUCCAAAAUACUGCAAAAUAAAAUAAAAGAAUAUUACAGGAUUAAAA